rnacentral:rRNA from 1 species
ACAUGCGCGAGCAUGACGGAGCAUACCGCGUGAGGGAUGACGGCCUGUGGGUUGUAAACCUCUUUUCUCAGGGAAGAAGUUCUGACGGUACUUGAAGAAUAAGCCUCGGCUAACUCCGUGCCCGCCGCCCCGGUUAUACCGGAGAAGCCAGCGUUUUCCGGAAUUACUGGGCCUAAAGCGUCUGUUGGUGGUUUGAUAAGUCUGCUGUUAAAAACUGGAGGUUAACCCCCAAAAAGCCAUGGAAACUGCUAAACUUGAAUGUGGUAGAGGUUAAGGGAAUUUCUAGUGGAACGGUGAAAUGGCUAAAAUUUAGGAAAAAAACCCAUGGGCAAAGGCCUUUUCUGGGCCAUUACUGACCCUUAAAAAACAAAGCUUAGGGAGCCAAAGGGAUUAAAUACCCCCGUAAUCAAAAUUUUAAAAAACCCCCAGUGGUCCAAGGGGGUUCAUACCCCCCCUUUUCCAACGGAUUUUAUACCCCCCUUGGGCAA